CCGGGAAAGUUUUCACUCCCGCAACGCUGUCUGCCGCUGUGCCGCAGCCUUCCCCAGGGUCUGGAAGGGCUCCUCCCGUCCCUCCUCUUUGCGCAGAAGAGCCAGGCGACACUGCCUGGCUCAGGCACAGUGGUCACUGCACGCCUGCUCGGCGGCACGCACCCAGCGCGACGUGACAGUUGGCUGGCCGCUGGAACCGUCCUGGAGUGCGGGCUCCACGCGCCUGGCCCCUCCUGAGAUAGCCUGGUCCAGGUGUCCGGCGGCAGAGCUGCCGGUUUGGUUGUGUCCAAAACCGAGGUCCCCUACGCUGAUCAUUUCCUUCAGAGGACCCAAGCAGUUUCAUUUACUGACAUGUUUAUUUUCUUCCCCUUUUCCUCAGGUAGACAGAGGGCGGGAACUUGAGAAAAUCAUAGGACACUCAGAGCCCAGCAGCAAAGUCAUUAAUGCAAAGAGGACUAUCAAGGGCCUUUCUUCCCAGCCCUCACCAAAGCAGAAACAAAGAUCCAGGGACAUGAUGACCUGAGGGCUAAAUCCUCCUGCUUGUGCUUGAAGAACUGGUUGUUUACUAAGAUGGAUAAGACUGGCCAGAGAAAAGGGAGAAGGUUUCAAGUGUCCAGACAUUAAGAUUUAAAUUAGUAUCACAGGAAUAGUCACCAAACAGUCAUUUCACUCAUCAAGAA